ACCAAGAUCAGGCCUGCACCUGCGCCUGCCAUGUUGGAAGAUCCAUCCACAUAGAGGGUCCAAAAGCAAUCGGAGGGAUUGGCCUCUUCGUUGGGGGAGUUCGGGUGAGACUUUAGGUCGUCAACUUCGCCUUGCUCAGGCUCGGCCUCCUCUGAGAUGGUGCACUCUACUACGAAAUCUGCCAAUAUUUGGGCCUUUAUUG
rnacentral:lncRNA from 1 species